rnacentral:lncRNA from 13 species
AUGUGUCAAGUGGCCUACUACCUGGGCUGCCGGCUGAAGACAGGAGUUCCUGGCUUUCGGUGUGCCGCUCCAAAAGUCAACACGGUGGCAUCUUGCUGGCCUCCUUUCAGAACAAUCCCAGAGGUUCAGAACGUUCCAGAAGGCAUUGAGAAAUCCUGCUCCAAACGGGAAGAAAGCAAACCCAAUGUUGGAGCCAUCAAAAAGCGACUUCUUUUGAGCCUGGUGGCCUACUUCCUGAAGUACCGGCUGAAGUCAUACAGUAAGUUCUAUAGGUUGACUACCAUGAAAGUGGCGAAUGACGUCCUGUGUUGUCUUGAGUAACUAACCAUUCUCUUUAUCAAAAUUAAUUUCUUAUGCUUAUACUUGCAGAAAACAGAAAUGGGUAUUUUAACAUUUUGGUCAAGAUGAAAGAUAGAGGCCAAAGUGUUUAGCAACUUUUCCACAUCUGCAGUAAGGUGGGUGUGGGACUGGGGUCACAGUCCCAGCUAUCAAUGUCUGACACAGGCACAGAACCACCUGUUUUUCUCAGCAAGAGACUAAAUCCAUGUUUGCAGGAAUCCUCUCUGUGCCAUACAAGAUCCUGCAGACAAGUAGCAUCUAGUCCGUUGGUCUAAAUGUCUGAGGCUACUGAACUUCCAUUUAGUUCUAGUUUCUGCUGAGGCCCAGUAGGCAAAGCAGUGUUCUGGGGACACUGGGGGGAACACUAUGAUAGCACACAGUUCCUGCUAUGGGGAGCUUAAAGGGGACCCUCCUCCGAUUAGACCCUGUGGUAUCUGAAAGUGGCAUCAUCAAGAGCAGGGAGUUCCCUGGUACUGGUGCCUCAGCCUCCCAAUCAGUUGGGAUCCCCGGUGGGCACCAUCACACCUGGCUAUUAUAUUUUCAGUAGAGGUGGGGUUUCACCGUGUUGGCCAGGCUGGUCCUGAAAUCCUGAGGUCAAGGGAUCUGCCCCCCUGUGCCUCCUAAAUUGCUGAGGUUUCAGGCAUGAGCCACCAUGCUGGUUCCACAGAUUGUUUUUCCAGUAAAGGUUGUUAGAAUUCAUCAGUUGGUCCAGUCUCCUGUAGAAAUUUCUCUAACCAUUCACUGAGCAUGAUAUAUAAUGAGAUAAAUCAGUAUGGCAGCAAUGCUUCUGCGAAGUAUUUAGGGCAAUUUUUGAAAGAUUUUUUGGGAAAACGUUUUAAUUUUUGUACUGACUUAGGUCACAGGAUACGUGGUUAAGAUCUACCAGAUGAGGGAGAUUUUGUCCUCUGGAUCUGAAAAGCAGGCUCAUCCACUUCUAGGGCGACUUAUUCUAGGGCUUGUUAGAACAUUACCGUCAGAAUGA